rnacentral:rRNA from 1 species
AUGAACGCUGGCGGCGUGCCUAAUCCCUGCAAGUCGAGCGAACAGAUGAGGAGCUUGCUCCUCUGACGUUAGCGGCGGACGGGUGAGUAACACGUGGAUAACCUACCUAUAAGACUGGGAUAACUUCGGGAAACCGGAGCUAAUACCGGAUAAUAUAUUGAACCGCAUGGUUCAAUAGUGAAAGACGGUUUUGCUGUCACUUAUAGAUGGAUCCGCGCCGCAUUAGCUAGUUGGUAAGGUAACGGCUUACCAAGGCAACGAUGCGUAGCCGACCUGAGAGGGUGAUCGGCCACACUGGAACUGAGACACGGUCCAGACUCCUACGGGAGGCAGCAGUAGGGAAUCUUCCGCAAUGGGCGAAAGCUUGACGGAGCAACGCCGCGUGAGUGAUGAAGGUCUUCGGAUCGUAAAACUCUGUUAUUAGGGAAGAACAAAUGUGUAAGUAACUAUGCACGUCUUGACGGUACCUAAUCAGAAAGCCACGGCUAACUACGUG